CACGCAGGCGGUCUGUCAAGUCGGAUGUGAAAUCCCCGGGCUCAACCUGGGAACUGCAUUCGAAACUGGCAGGCUUGAGUCUUGUAGAGGGGGGUAGAAUUCCAGGUGUAGCGGUGAAAUGCGUAGAGAUCUGGAGGAAUACCGGUGGCGAAGGCGGCCCCCUGGACAAAGACUGACGCUCAGGUGCGAAAGCGUGGGGAAGCAAAACA
rnacentral:rRNA from 1 species